rnacentral:misc_RNA from 1 species
GCAAACUUGGUCAUUUAGAGGAAGUAAAAGUCGUAACAAGGUUUCCGUAGGUGAACCUGCGGAAGGAUCAUUACAACAAAAGCAAGGAGACGGGUAAAACCGCCGCCUUUUAACCCAUGUGAAUAGCCGGAGCAUGCGCGAAAGCGGAUGUUUUCUGGAUUAUAAACGAGUAACAGAGUUAGUUUUUAAAAAAAUACAUAUAACUUUUAACAAUGGAUCUCUUGGCUCUUGCAUCGAUGAAGAACGCAGC